UACGGAGGGCGCAAGCGUUAAUCGGAAUCACUGGGCGUAAAGCGCACGUAGGCGGCGACGUAAGUCAGGCGUGAAAGCCCUCGGCUCAACCGAGGAAUUGCGUUUGAUACUGCGUUGCUUGAGUCCUGGAGAGGGUGGCGGAAUUCCGGGUGUAGGAGUGAAAUCCGUAGAUAUCCGGAGGAGCACCGGUGGCGAAGGCGGCCACCUGGACAGGUACUGACGCUGAGGUGCGAAGGCGUGGGGAGCAAACAGGAUUAGAUACCCUGGUAGUCCACGCUGUAAACGAUGGAUGUUAGGUGUCGGGGAGCGAUCUUCGGUGCCGGAGUUAACGCAUUAAACAUCCCGCCUGGGGAGUACGGUCGCAAGGCUGAA
rnacentral:rRNA from 1 species